rnacentral:rRNA from 1 species
GUCUGCUUGGUCUUAUAAGCAGUCUGACCUGCCCACUGAAUUCUCUUUAAAGGCCGCGGUAUUCUAACCGUGCAAAGGUAGCAUAAUAAUUAGUUUUUUAAUUGAAAACUGGUAUGAAAGGUCGGACAAAAAGCAAACUGUCUCAAUUAUUAUAAUUGAAUCUAACUUUUAAGUGAAAAGGCUUAAAUACUUUAAGGGGACGAUAAGACCCUAUAAAACUUUAUAUAAUAAAAAAUAAACCAUAAUUUAUUUAUUUUAAGUAGUUUAUAUUUUUUUAUAUUUUGUUGGGGUGACAGAAGCAUAAUUAAUAACUGCUUUUUUUCUAAAACAAAAAUUUUUGGUUUUUUUUGAUCCCUUUUAAGGAUUUAAAGAACAAGUUACUUUAGGGAUAACAGCGUAAUUUUUUUCAAGAGUCCAUAUCGACAAAAAAGUUUGCGACCUCGAUGUUGAAUUAAAUCCUCCUUAUAGUGCAGCAAUUAUAAAGGAUGGUCUGUUCGACCAUUAAAUUUUUACAUGAUUUGAGUUCAAACCGGUGUAAG